rnacentral:miRNA from 1 species
GGGUUCUGGUGUGUGCAUGUGCAUGUGUGUGUAGGAAAGAGCAUGCAUGCAUGCGCA